CUUCAGUGUCCCCUCACCUGGACCUUUAAACACACCUGUGAACCCCAGCUCUGUCAUGAGCCCAGCUGGCUCCAGCCAGGCUGAGGAGCAGCAGUACCUGGACAAGCUGAAGCAGCUGUCGAAGUACAUCGAGCCCCUGCGCCGCAUGAUCAACAAGAUCGACAAGAACGAAGACAGAAAAAAGGACCUGAGUAAGAUGAAGAGCCUUCUGGACAUUCUGACAGACCCCUCGAAGCGGUGAGCUUUGCCCACAGCCCACGGAGGGUCCACAAGGGCACAGAUAGCCCAGCCAUGGAUGGGCACUUGGUGAUGAUGUGGGUUUAACAAAGGCACCAGGCAGCUCUUUGGACCCUGGCCAGAGGCCUCCAAGGCUCCACUCUGGUGUGUGCUGGGGCUUCAAGCCCAGGCUUCAUCUUGGCCCAUGCCCAGCCUUUGCCCUAUUCCUGGCUGCUGCUGUGGCCCUCAUGCUGGGCCAUCACAGCCAGACCUCAUCCAGCCAGCAGCCAGGGGCCCAGCUUGCAGUGGCCUGACCAUCAGCUGGCCCAGAUGGGCCUGAGCCUGACCUGGAGUUCUGCCCCUGACUUGCUGGUGAC
rnacentral:sRNA from 1 species